rnacentral:rRNA from 1 species
GUGGGGAAUAUUGCACAAUGGGCGAAAGCCUGACGCAGCAACGCCGCGUGAGGGACGACGGCCUUCGGGUUGUAAACCUCUUUUAGUAGGGAAGAAGCGAAAGUGACGGUACCUGCAGAAAAAGCACCGGCUAACUACGUGCCAGCAGCCGCGGUAAUACGUAGGGUGCAAGCGUUAUCCGGAAUUAUUGGGCGUAAAGAGCUCGUAGGCGGUCUGUCGCGUCUGCUGUGAAAACUGGAGGCUCAACCUCCAGCCUGCAGUGGGUACGGGCAGACUAGAGUGCGGUAGGGGAGAUUGGAAUUCCUGGUGUAGCGGUGGAAUGCGCAGAUAUCAGGAGGAACACCGAUGGCGAAGGCAGAUCUCUGGGCCGUAACUGACGCUGAGGAGCGAAAGCGUGGGGAGCGAACAGGAUUAGAUACCCUUGUAGUCC